rnacentral:piRNA from 1 species
UGGGAGAUCCUUUGGAGGCCUGGCUGU